rnacentral:rRNA from 1 species
GAUGAACGCUGGCGGCGUGCCUAAUACAUGCAAGUCGAGCGAACAGACGAGGAGCUUGCUCCUCUGACGUUAGCGGCGGACGGGUGAGUAACACGUGGAUAACCUACCUAUAAGACUGGGAUAACUUCGGGAAACCGGAGCUAAUACCGGAUAAUAUAUUGAACCGCAUGGUUCAAUAGUGAAUGACGGUUUUGCUGUCACUUAUAGAUGGUUCCGCGCCGCAUUAGCUAGUUGGUAAGGUAACGGCUUACCAAGGCAACGAUGCGUAGCCGACCUGAGAGGGUGAUCGGCCACACUGGAACUGAGACACGGUCCAGACUCCUACGGGAGGCAGCAGUAGGGAAUCUUCCGCAAUGGGCGAAAGCCUGACGGAGCAACGCCGCGUGAGUGAUGAAGGUCUUCGGAUCGUAAAACUCUUUUAUUAGGGAAGAACAAAUGUGUAAGUAACUAUGCACGUCUUGACGGUACCUAAUCAGAAAGCCACGGCUAACUACGUG